rnacentral:rRNA from 1 species
AGAGCGAACGCUGGCGGCAGGCUUAACACAUGCAAGUCGAGCGCUCGUAGCAAUACGGGAGCGGCAGACGGGAGAGUAACACGUGGGAACGUACCCUUCGGUUCGGAAUAACCCAGGGAAACUUGGGCUAAUACCGGAUACGUCCGUAAGGAGAAAGAUUUAUCGCCGAGGGAUCGGCCCGCGUCCGAUUAGCUAGUUGGUGGGGUAAUGGCCCACCAAGGCGACGAUCGGUAGCUGGUCUGAGAGGAUGAUCAGCCUCACUGGGACUGAGACACGGCCCAGACUCCUACGGGAGGCAGCAGUGGGGAAUAUUGGACAAUGGGCGCAAGCCUGAUCCAGCCAUGCCGCGUGGGUGAUGAAGGCCUUAGGGUUGUAAAGCCCUUUCGGCGGGGAAGAUAAUGACGGUACCCGCAGAAGAAGCCCCGGCUAACUUCGUGCCAGCAGCCGC